rnacentral:rRNA from 1 species
UACGUAGGCAGCGAGCGUUGCUCGGAAUCACUGGGCGUAAAGGGUGCGUAGGCGGGUCUUUAAGUCAGGGGUGAAAUCCUGGAGCUCAACUCCAGAACUGCCUUUGAUACUGAGGAUCUUGAGUUCGGGAGAGGUGAGUGGAACUGCGAGUGUAGAGGUGAAAUUCGUAGAUAUUCGCAAGAACACCAGUGGCGAAGGCGGCUCACUGGCCCGAUACUGACGCUGAUGCACGAAAGCGUGGGGAGCAAACAGG